UGUCCCAUGGCUUAUUUGGUCACGGCGUCCGACUGUUAUACGACCUUUUCGUUCGUGUAUGUAACAUCGGAAGAUCGAGAGUUCAAGUCUCUCUGGGACAG